rnacentral:rRNA from 1 species
UACGGAGGGGGCAAGCGUUAUUCGGAAUUAUUGGGCGUAAAGCGUGCGCAGGCGGUUCUGAAAGUCAGCUGUGAAAGCCCCGGGCUUAACCUGGGAAUUGCGGUUGAAACUACAGGGCUAGAAUCUGGCAGAGGGGGGUGGAAUUCCACGUGUAGCAGUGAAAUGCGUAGAGAUGUGGAGGAACACCGAUGGCGAAGGCAGCCCCCUGGGCUGAGAUUGACGCUCAGGCACGAAAGCGUGGGGAGCAAACAGG